AUUGAACGCUGGCGGCAGGCCUAACACAUGCAAGUCGAGCGGAUGAAGGGAGCUUGCUCCUGGAUUCAGCGGCGGACGGGUGAGUAAUGCCUAGGAAUCUGCCUGGUAGUGGGGGAUAACGUCCGGAAACGGGCGCUAAUACCGCAUACGUCCUGAGGGAGAAAGUGGGGGAUCUUCGGACCUCACGCUAUCAGAUGAGCCUAGGUCGGAUUAGCUAGUUGGUGGGGUAAAGGCCUACCAAGGCGACGAUCCGUAACUGGUCUGAGAGGAUGAUCAGUCACACUGGAACUGAGAAACGGUCCCGACUCCUACGGGAGGCAGCAGGGGGGAAUAUUGGACAAUGGGCGAAAGCCUGAUCCAGCCCAGCCGCGUGUGUGAAGAAGGUCUUCGGAUUGUAAAGCCCUUUAAGUUGGGAGGAAGGGCAGUAAGUUAAUACCUUGCUGUUUUGACGUUACCAACAGAAUAAGCACCGGCUAACUUCGUG
rnacentral:rRNA from 1 species